rnacentral:rRNA from 1 species
CGUUCUGUAAGCCUGUGAAGGUGUGCUGUGAGGCAUGCUGGAGGUAUCAGAAGUGCGAAUGCUGACAUAAGUAACGAUAAAGCGGGUGAAAAGCCCGCUCGCCGGAAGACCAAGGGUUCCUGUCCAACGUUAAUCGGGGCAGGGUGAGUCGACCCCUAAGGCGAGGCCGAAAGGCGUAGUCGAUGGGAAACAGGUUAAUAUUCCUGUACUUGGUGUUACUGCGAAGGGGGGACGGAGAAGGCUAUGUUGGCCGGGCGACGGUUGUCCCGGUUUAAGCGUGUAGGCUGGUUUUCCAGGCAAAUCCGGAAAAUCAAGGCUGAGGCGUGAUGACGAGGCACUACGGUGCUGAAGCAACAAAUGCCCUGCUUCCAGGAAAAGCCUCUAAGCAUCAGGUAACAUCAAAUCGUACCCCAAACCGACACAGGUGGUCAGGUAGAGAAUACCAAGGCGCUUGAGAGAACUCGGGUGAAGGAACUAGGCAAAAUGGUGCCGUAACUUCGGGAGAAGGCACGCUGAUAUGUAGGUGAAGUCCCUCGCGGAUGGAGCUGAAAUCAGUCGAAGAUACCAGCUGGCUGCAACUGUUUAUUAAAAACACAGCACUGUGCAAACACGAAAGUGGACGUAUACGGUGUGACGCCUGCCCGGUGCCGGAAGGUUAAUUGAUGGGGUCAGCGCAAGCGAAGCUCUUGAUCGAAGCCCCGGUAAACGGCGGCCGUAACUAUAACGGUCCUAAGGUAGCGAAAUUCCUUGUCGGGUAAGUUCCGACCUGCACGAAUGGCGUAAUGAUGGCCAGGCUGUCUCCACCCGAGACUCAGUGAAAUUGAACUCGCUGUGAAGAUGCAGUGUACCCGCGGCAAGACGGAAAGACCCCGUGAACCUUUACUAUAGCUUGACACUGAACAUUGAGCCUUGAUGUGUAGGAUAGGUGGGAGGCUUAGAAGUGUGGACGCCAGUCUGCAUGGAGCCGACCUUGAAAUACCACCCUUUAAUGUUUGAUGUUCUAACGUUGACCCGUAAUCCGGGUUGCGGACAGUGUCUGGUGGGUAGUUUGACUGGGGCGGUCUCCUCCUAAAGAGUAACGGAGGAGCACGAAGGUUGGCUAAUCCUGGUCGGACAUCAGGAGGUUAGUGCAAUGGCAUAAGCCAGCUUGACUGCGAGCGUGACGGCGCGAGCAGGUGCGAAAGCAGGUCAUAGUGAUCCGGUGGUUCUGAAUGGAAGGGCCAUCGCUCAACGGAUAAAAGGUACUCCGGGGAUAACAGGCUGAUACCGCCCAAGAGUUCAUAUCGACGGCGGUGUUUGGCACCUCGAUGUCGGCUCAUCACAUCCUGGGGCUGAAGUAGGUCCCAAGGGUAUGGCUGUUCGCCAUUUAAAGUGGUACGCGAGCUGGGUUUAGAACGUCGUGAGACAGUUCGGUCCCUAUCUGCCGUGGGCGCUGGAGAACUGAGGGGGGCUGCUCCUAGUACGAGAGGACCGGAGUGGACGCAUCACUGGUGUUCGGGUUGUCAUGCCAAUGGCACUGCCCGGUAGCUAAAUGCGGAAGAGAUAAGUGCUGAAAGCAUCUAAGCACGAAACUUGCCCCGAGAUGAGUUCUC